GUGACCCCAGGUCAGGAGGGGACACCCGCUGA
rnacentral:rRNA from 1 species